GAAGGCGCUCUGCUGGGCCAUCACUGACGCUCAUGGACGAAAGCCAGGGGAGCGAAAGGGAUUAGAUACCCCUGUAGUCCUGGCCGUAAACGAUGAACACUAGGUGUCGGGGGAAUCGACCCCCUCGGUGUCGUAGCCAACGCGUUAAGUGUUCCGCCUGGGGAGUACGCACGCAAGUGUGAAACUCAAAGGAAUUGACGGGGGCCCGCACAAGCGGUGGAGUAUGUGGUUUAAUUCGAUGCAACGCGAAGAACCUUACCAGGGUUUGACAUCCUGCGAAUCUCUUGGAAACAGGAGAGUGCCUUCGGGAACGCAGUGACAGGUGGUGCAUGGCUGUCGUCAGCUCGUGUCGUGAGAUGUUGGGUUAAGUCCCGCAACGAGCGCAACCCACGUCUUUAGUUGCCAGCAUUUAGUUGGGCACUCUAGAGAGACUGCCGGUGAUAAACCGGAGGAAGGUGUGGAUGACGUCAAGUCAUCAUGCCCCUUACAUCCUGGGCUACACACGUACUACAAUGCUACGGACAAAGGGCAGCAAGUUCGCGAGGACAAGCAAAUCCCAUAAACCGUGGCUCAGUUCAGAUCGUAGGCUGCAACUCGCCUACGUGAAGGCGGAAUCGCUAGUAAUCGCAGGUCAGCAUACUGCGGUGAAUACGUUCCCGGGCCUUGUACACACCGCCCGUCACACCAUGGAAGUUGGCCACGCCCGAAGCCGUUACUCCAACCCUUGUGGAGGAGGACGUCGAAGGUGGGGCUGAUGACUGGGGUGAAGUCGUAACAAGGUAACC
rnacentral:rRNA from 1 species